CAGCGUGUGGCUCAGAAGCAGAGCACCGGGCUCGGGACCCGGAAGGCGCGAGGGCGGCACCCGCCACGCCGG
rnacentral:tRNA from 1 species